AUUGAACGCUGGCGGCAGGCUUAACACAUGCAAGUCGAACGAGCGGCAGACGGGUGAGUAAUGUAUGGGGCUCUGCCCGAUAGAGGGGGAUAACUACUGGAACCGGUGGCUAAUACCGCAUACUAUCGGAUGAACCCAUAUGGGCUUAGCUAGUAGGUGGGGUAAAGGCUCACCUGGGCGACGAUCACUAGCUGGGCUGAGAGGAUGAUCAGCGAGACUGGGACUGAGACACGGCCCAGACGGCUAAGGGAGGCAGCAGUGGGGAAUAUUGAACAAUGGGCGCAAGCCUGAUGCAGCCAUGCCGCGUGGAUGAAGAAGGCCUUGGGGUUGUAAAGUACGUUCAGCGGGGAGGCGUUAGCUGCAGAAGAAGCACCGGCUAACUCCGUGCCAGCAGCCGCGGUAAUAC
rnacentral:rRNA from 1 species